AUUGAACGCUGGCGGCAUGCCUUACACAUGCAAGUCGAACGGCAGCACGGGUGCUUGCACCUGGUGGCGAGUGGCGAACGGGUGAGUAAUGCAUCGGAACGUACCCUGGAGUGGGGGAUAACUAUCCGAAAGGAUAGCUAAUACCGCAUAUUCUAUGAGUAGGAAAGCGGGGGAUCUUCGGACUCCGCGCUCUGGGCGAGGCCGAUGUCAGAGUAGCUAGUUGGUGGGGUAAAGGCCUACCAAGGCUACGAUCUGUAGCGGGUCUGAGAGGAUGAUCCGCCACACUGGGACUGAGACACGGCCCAGACUCCUACGGGAGGCAGCAGUGGGGAAUUUUGGACAAUGGGGGCAACCCUGAUCCAGCCAUGCCGCGUGAGUGAAGAAGGCCUUCGGGUUGUAAAGCUCUUUCGGCCGGGAAGAAAUCGCCAUCUCUAAUAUAGGUGGUGGAUGACGGUACCGGAAUAAGAAGCACCGGCUAACUACGUGCCAGCCGCCGCCGUAAUAC
rnacentral:rRNA from 1 species